GGGGGUGAACGGUCUCGACUUCGGAUGUCGGGGCAGGGGAAGCGGGCCGAGGAAGGCGACGAUGAUCUCGUUAACCACGAAACGUCGCAAUUGAACAAGCGCCGAUACCAAUCAGCGCGAGUUCGCACUUGCCGCCUAGGUAAGUAGCGACUCUGUCAGCCCGGGAGCGCCUCCGGCCCGGGACCUGGCAUCGACAGGAGGCUCACCGCCGGAACCGGCUACGGGGUUCGGCGGGAAAUUCCACAGUAGCUGAGCCUGUCACCGACGUGCCUGUGAGAUCGGUGGGGCCGAGAAACUCAUAACAGGAUGCGCCCGGAGAAGCCCUGGUUCGGUGCCGAAGGACGCGGGUUCGAUUCCCGCCACCUCCACCA
rnacentral:tmRNA from 1 species